CCCUUAGAUGUUCUGGGCCGCACGCGCGCUACACUGAUGCAUUCAACGAGUCUAAAACCUGCUCUGAUAGGGGUGGGUAAUCUUUUGAAUGUGCAUCGUGAUUGGGAUAGAUGAUUGCAAUUCUUCAUCUUCAACGAGGAAUGCCUAGUAAACGCAAGUCAUCAGCUUGCAUUGAUUACGUCCCUGCCCUUUGUACACACCGCCCGUCGCUCCUACCGAUUGAAUGAUCCGAUGAAUACCAUGGAUUGAGAGUACGAAUAGGUUCGCUUAUUUCUGCUGCUCGAGAAGUGGAGUAAAUCUUAUCAUUUAGAGGAAGGAGAAGUCGUAACA
rnacentral:rRNA from 1 species